rnacentral:rRNA from 1 species
AGUGAACGCUGGCGGUAGGCCUAACACAUGCAAGUCGAACGGCAGCACAGGAGAGCUUGCUCUCUGGGUGGCGAGUGGCGGACGGGUGAGGAAUACAUCGGAAUCUACUUUUUCGUGGGGGAUAACGUAGGGAAACUUACGCUAAUACCGCAUACGACCUACGGGUGAAAGCAGGGGACCUUCGGGCCUUGCGCGAUUGAAUGAGCCGAUGUCGGAUUAGCUAGUUGGCGGGGUAAAGGCCCACCAAGGCGACGAUCCGUAGCUGGUCUGAGAGGAUGACAAGCCACACUGGAACUGAGACACGGUCCAGACUCCUACGGGAGGCAGCAGUGGGGAAUAUUGGACAAUGGGCACAAGCCUGAUCCAGCCAUACCGCGUGGGUGAAGAAGGCCUUCGGGUUGUAAAGCCCUUUUGUUGGGAAAGAAAUCCAGCUGGCUAAUACCCGGUUGGGAUGACGGUACCCAAAGAAUAAGCACCGGCUAACUUCGUGCCAGCAGCCGCCGUAA